rnacentral:lncRNA from 1 species
AACUGCACUCUUCUAUUCAUCACAAGAUGCCAUUGACCAACGCAUUUAUUCAACAUAUAUAGAAGAUUCAUUAGUUUUCCUUGCUACAACCAUUAAAGAAAUAUUCAAGUCAACAUACAAGUUGUGGCAUGCUACAAAAUAUGGGUCAAGUUCAUAAGAGACUAAAUAUUCGAUCACUCUACAAAACACUAUGGCAGAGCCCAAGUCUUCGGUCACCAAACCGACAUCAACUUCCAUUUGAAGAAAAUAGAAGAUGUACAAAAGCCAUAAUAUCUUCGACUUGAUACUUCCCUCCAUUUCACCCUACAAAAGCCCCAUAUGUUUGAGCAAUAUUAUCAUAGUACAUUUUGUCAAACUUCUGAGUUAAUCAAGUCCAAAGAACCAAAAACAGAAGAUGUACAACAAACUGGCUUGGUACUGUAGUUAUAUGUGUAGGUCAAAGGCCGAAACAUACUAAUAAUCAUUUAAAUGAAAUAAAGAAACCCAGAUACAUGCACAUUUAUCAGGAAGCAGCCGUGAGCAUAUAGCCCGAUUUUGGAGAAAAUAAAGCAUUAGACCAGCAUUCAACUUCUUACAAACUCACGCAUACAAGUUCUUACAAACACAUGCGUACAUAUCCAUGAGAGUAUGCAUGUUACAUGAGAGUUUUCAUAUGCUGAUAAAAGAAGAGUAUCAAACAAGGGUGAGUAUGCAUCUACAUCAUUCAAAGUUAGCUACAGUUUUAAUCAAACAUACAACUCUAAACUAUAGCAAUUGAGAACCAACAGGUCAUUGUGAAAUUGAUCAGUUAGAUUGCUAGACCCAGCAGUGCCUUACAAACACUGAUAACCUUUUCUUCUUUUUAUAGUAUGGAAAUCAUAAAGUUAUUUAUUCAUUUUUUGAAACGGUUAAAGUUAUUUUUGACUACUACAGCUACAUCCAAUGUAAGACUACACAUGAACAUAUGUGAAUGAUCAACUAUUGUAUGUUGAUGCAUAAGUUUGCAGGAUACUUAAAUACUGUUUUCUUUCAUGCUCACUAGUCGCUUCUCAGAAAACUGAAUCUGAAAGCACCUCCUUACUUGGUUUUCAACUACUGGAGAGGUCGUUCUGUAUUGGUCGUGUAUAAUCAUUCUCGGUUCUCCUGCAAUACAAGCAGAAAAAAAACAUGAGCAACGAACCACCACAUAUACAAUGUCAGACCAUGCAACUGCUAAUUACCGUAACGGCAAAAGACCUCUCUGUUCAUCCAUAGUCCAUUUAACUACUACAUGCUCUCAGUUCAUCUAUAGGCCAAGUUCAAAGCAUAUGCUCAUUUAAAAACUUGGGCAUGAUCAUCUAUUGUAGUACUGGUACAAAAACAAAUUGCACAGUUAUGGUCGAUUGUACCACUCACGUUAUUUGAAAAAACAUACACGCAAAACAAUCACAAAUAGAGAAGCACCACACAAGUACUAAGAACAAUAAAUAAACUUUUUUUUGCGUGGUACUUUUUCUUAUCAGUAAACAAAGAUAUAUAUCAACCCACGCAAAAAGAUAUAUAUUAAAACGAAAGCAAAAAUAAAACUUAAAGCAUACGUACUCUAAUGCAGAAUGAAUGAAGGGCAUUGCUAUCAUCCAAAAGUAGAAAUAAAACUUAAAGCUAUUGAUGAAAAAACUUGAACACAUUGUGUAGAACUUGCAUUGUUGAACAAUAUGCAAGAACAAGUAUAUAGCACUGUAAUUUUCAGACAACGAUAUGAUUUGGAAACACACCGUUCUAUCAAUUUAACUGCAGAUCUCCAUAUAAAAUCUCUUUUUUCCUUAAGCCCUCUACAUGAGUCGUGCAGCUCCAGCACUGCCAUUUGUGUGUAUGGUUGUUGCAUGCAUUCAUGAGGACAAGCAAGAGUGGUACAACAAACAUGGUGAUGUUGACAAGAGUAAUACCUGAACUCUGCGAUGACGACAACCAUGGCUUUCUGCAAGGUUGGAUCUACAGAAAUAACCAUUCAUUAGUAUCAGGUCAUAGUUUACACUGGAACAGGAAGAUGAAUAAAAUAUAUUUUACCGCACCAAGUAAUACAUAUGUUACCGAAUUACCCAUACUACAUGUGACUGCUUUAUCCUCGAGUGCAGCAAAUGAAAGCUCACACUGCGCUUAAUUAAUUCAGAUCUAUUUUCAAUACAAUAGUUAUCAAAUGAAAGCUGCUCAGUUUCAGUAGUACAUCUUGACUUAGAGGCAUCAGAAUAUUGAUCAGUACAUAUUCUUGAAAAAGGAAUAUUGAUCCGUGCAUAGAAUUUUAUGCUAAAAUUGGGAACUACUGUAUGUUACAAAGCAAAUAACAAUUGGAUACGAGGCUGCUCAUGGCAUGCUCCAUCUAUUGAUGAUGCACAUGGACUUCAUUUUCUCGGUUAACCAAACCGAUAAAUUCCGGUAAAUAAGAUUCAGUUUUUAUUUGUGUUAGGAUUAUCUCAGUUCUCAUUUACCCACAAACCGAAAUUCAAAAAACCAGAAUAAACCGAACCGAACUAAUAACCAUAUAAACUGAAUGCCCACCCCUAGUUGUUCCUAGGCUCAUCCGUCCACCUUCUGUCCGUGGUGGCUGCACCUUCAGUGGUGAUACACAGACUACUAGUGAAAUGUAGACUCAAAAUAUCAACGUCGCUGCACAAAUCGGUAUUCACUAUGAACAUACAUAUCAAAUAGACAAAACUUAAAACAUUGGGGUACCAAGGAAGAAUACACAAAGAUGUGAAUCGCCGGAAGUGAACAAGAAACAAUAAAUAGCGUCCACAUUUAGGGACAAACAAGAUGAGAGAGGAGAGAUGGACCAGCAGGUGAGCUAACUGACCCAUUACAACAUACAGUAUUGUUCAUAAGAGUGCAAACAACAGGCAACAUAUAUGUAAUCAUGUGACUGCAUGAGAGAGAUCUAUCUGUGAUGAACUUACAGUUCCUAAGCUUAACAAAUCACAUUAAGUAAAGUUCGUACAAGCAAAUCUGCAACUCCUUCAAAUGUAAAUGAAGAAAAAAUGAACAUAAUGCUUGCUGAUACAGAAAGAAAUAUAGAUAGCCAAUGAUCUGAAGGCGUCAUGUGGAAAUUUGAGGAUUACAUUUAAUGAAACCAAGGCACAGUUGUGUGCGUAAAUUCAGAAAACAGGGGAGACACAUAAAAAGGCCAACGGACAGAAGUAGAAUGCUGCCAGAGAAGAAAUGAGCUGAUUUUGUGUGAGAAGAACCUCAAAGACCACCCGUUACAGAAGUUGCAAGAGGGUUGGAUGGUUAGAACGGAUGAAUUUGGGGAACGUGACUGGAUGCACCUGUUACAGACCACCCGUUAAGAAAAGAGAUUCAGAUCCUAAAAAAGGACUGGAUGCACUUAAUCAUGCGACUUCAAGAGAGAUCAAUCUGUGAAGACCUGACAGUUACGAAAGCAUUAACAUAUCACACUAGUAAGGUUCAUACAAUCAAAUCUGCAACUCCUUCAAAAUAAAAGAAUGAACAACAUAAUACAGAAACUGAAAAAAUAUCAUGUGAGGUAUUAAAUCAGGUCGUAAGCCAUUCAAUAAUAAUGUUAACUACAGAACAUACCAGAAGACAGUUAAAAGGAAUAUAAUUGCAGCUUACAUGUUGAGUUCUGGAGGCGGGGCAGGGCAAGGGGAAUCAGCCGGGACAGGCUUCGCCUGUGGAGGAAGAAGAACGGCCAGCAGCUCCUCUGAACCAGCUGGCGCUGGCGGACGACGCUGCUGCUGCUUGCCGGUGGACGGUGUUGCUGCUCCUCACUCUCAGCACGGCGGGAGGCGUUGCUGCUCGUCAGCGGGAUGUUGCUGCUCCUCCUUGAGUGCGGGAUAAGGGAAGGGAGGCCAGGGUCCGAGAUGCCGUGGCGAGAGGGGAACGACGAGCUGAUCUGGGGCGGCGGCGCGCAGAUCCGGGGCGGCGGCGUGGGAGGGUUAGGUUUAGGGUAUGUGUUGUGCGUGGGCGGCGAUAGAGAGGGGUGAGAUUGGGAACGAGUAUUUAGGAAUUGGGUGUUCCGCGUGCCGCGCGCUCCGCUCUCUUCCGGCGCCUUAUUUUUUGUGUGGGCCUAACAAAACAACCCCGACACUUUACGGGUCCCUACGAAUCGGCGACACACAGACUAUCAGUGAAGGUUGUAUCUACCGACAGAAAUUACGUCGCUGGUCUGGUGAUGCUUUGGCGACAGAAAGUGUGUAACUAGCUUAUUGAACACUAAUAAUUUGUGUGUCGGUAUAGUUUGAGACAAAAAAUGUGUCGGCGAUGCACACUUAUACCAACGGAUGCAUGUCGUCAUUGUGGUGUCGUGGUGUAGUGACGGUUCUUGCUAAGCCCGUAGCAGCCACGUAAAAUUUGCAACAACAAAGUAGAGGACGUCUAACUUGUUUUUGCAGGGCAUGUUGUGAUGUGAUAUGGUCAAGACGUGAUGCUAUAUUUUAUUGUAUGAGAUGAUCAUGUUUUGUAACCGAUGUUAUCGGCAACUGGCAGGAGCCAUAUGGUUGUCGCUUUAUUGUAUGAAAUGCAAACGCCCUGUAAUUGCUUUACUUUAUCACUAAGCGGUAGCGAUAGUCGUAGAAGCAAUAGAUGGCGUAAACGACAAUGAUGCUACGAUGAAGAUCAAGGUGCCGCGCCGGUGACGAUGGUGAUCACGACGGUGCUUCGGAGAUGGAGAUCACAAGCACAAGAUGAUGAUGACCAUAUCAUAUCACUUAUAUUGAUUGCAUGUGAUGUUAAUCCUUUAUGCAUCUUAUCUUGCUUUGAUUGACGGUAGCAUUUUAAGAUGAUCUCUCACUAAAAUUAUCAAGAAGUGUUCUCCCUGAGUAUGCACCGUUGUCAAAGUUCGUCGUGCCCAGACACCACGUGAUGAUCGGGUGUGAUGAGCUCUACGUCCAUCUACAACGGGUGCAAGCCAGUUUGGCACACGCAGAAUACUCAGGUUAAACUUGACGAGCCUAGCAUAUGCAGAUAUGGCCUCGGAACACGGAGACCGAAAGGUCGAGCGUGAAUCAUAUAAUAGAUAUGAUCAACAUAGUAAUGUUCACCAUUGAAAACUACUCCAUCUCACGUGAUGAUCGGUUAUGGUUUAGUUGAUUUGGAUCACGUGAUCACUUAGAUUACUAGAGAGAUGUCUGUCUAAGUGGGAGUUCUUAAGUAAUAUGAUUAAUUGAACUUAAAUUUAUCAUGAACUUAGUACCUGAUAGUAUUUUGCUUAUCUAUGUUUGUUGUAGAUAGAUGGCUCGUGCUAUUGUUCCGUUGAAUUUUAAUGCGUUCCUUGAGAAAGCAAAGUUGAAAGACGAUGGUAGCAAUUACACGGACUGGGUCCGUAACCUGAGGAUUAUCCUCAUUGCUGCACAGAAAAGUUACGUCCUGGAAGCACCGCUGGGUGCCAGGCCUGCUGCUGAUGCAACUGACGACGUUAAGAACGUCUAGCAGAGCAAAGCUGAUGACUACUUGAUAGUUCAGUGUGCCAUGCUUUAUGGCUUAGAACCGGGUCUUCAACGACGUUUUGAACGUCAUGGAGCAUAUGAGAUGUUCUAGGAGUUGAAGUUAAUAUUUCAAGCAAAUGCCCGGAUUGAAAGAUAUGAAGUCUCCAAUAAGUUCUAUAGCUGCAAGAUGGAGGAGAAUAGUUCUGUCAGUGAACAUAUACUCAAAAUGUCUGGGUAUAAUAAUCACUUGAUUCAAUUGGGAGUUAAUCUUCCUGAUGAUAGUGUCAUUGACAGAAUUCUUCAAUCACUGCCACCAAGCUACAAGAGCUUCGUGAUGAACUAUAAUAUGCAAGGGAUGAACAAGACUAUUCCCGAGCUCUUUGCAAUGCUAAAAGCCGCGGAGGUAGAAAUCAAGAAGGAGCAUCAAGUGUUGAUGGUUAACAAGACCACCAGUUUCAAGAAAAAGGGCAAAGGAAAGAAGAAGGGGAACUUCAAGAAGAACAUCAAGCAAGUUGCUGCUCAAGAGAAGAAACCCAAGUCUGGACCUAAGCCUGAAACUGAGUGCUUCUACUGCAAGCAGACUGGACACUGGAAGCGGAACUGCCCCAAGUAUUUGGCGGAUAAGAAGGAUGGCAAGGUGAACAAAGGUAUAUGUGAUAUACAUGUUAUUGAUGUGUACCUUACUAGAGCUCACAGUAGCACCUGGGUAUUUGAUACUGGUUCUAUUGCUAACAUUUGCAACUCGAAACAGGGACUACGGAAUAAGCGAGCACUGGCCAAGGAUGAGGUGACGAUGCGCGUGGGAAACGGUUCCAAAGUCAAUAUGAUCGCGGUCGGCACACUACCUCUACAUCUACCUUCGGGAUUAGUUUUAGACCUGAAUAAUUGUUAUUUGGUGCCAGCGUUGAGCAUGAACAUUAUAUCUGGAUCUUGUUUGAUGCGAGAUGGUUAUUCAUUUAAAUCAGAGAAUAAUGGUUGUUCUAUUUAUAUGAGUAAUAUCUUUUAUGGUCAUGCACCCUUGAAGAGUGGUCUAUUUUUAUUGAAUCUCAAUAGUAGUGAUACACAUAUUCAUAGUGUUGAAACCAAAAGAUGCAGAGUUAAUAAUGACAGUGCAACUUAUUUGUGGCACUGCCGUUUAGGUCAUAUCGGUGUAAAGCGCAUGAAGAAACUCCAUACUGAUGGAAUUUUGGAAUCACUUGGUACUUGUGAACCGUGCCUCAUGGGCAAGAUGACUAAAACACCGUUCUCCGGUACUAUGGAGAGAGCAACAGAUUUGUUGGAAAUCAUACAUACUAAUGUUUGUGGUCCAAUGAAUGUUGAGGCUCGCGGCGGGUAUCGUUAUUUUCUCACCUUCACAGAUGAUUUGAGCAGAUAUGGGUAUAUCUACUUGAUGAAACACAAGUCUGAAACAUUUGAAAAGUUCAAAGAAUUUUAGAGUGAAGUGGAAAAUCAUCGUAACAAGAAAAUAAAAUUUCUACGAUCUGAUCGUGGAGAAGAAUAUUUGAGUUACGAGUUUGGUCUACACUUAAAACA